ACUUAAGCAGGUCUCCAAGGUGUACCCGCUGAACUUAAGCAUAUCAAUAAGCGGAGGAAAAGAAACCAACAGGGAUUACCUCAGUAACGGCGAGUGAAGCGGUAACAGCUCAAAUUUGAAAUCUGGCUCUUUCAGGGUCCGAGUUGUAAUUUGUAGAAGAUGCUUUGGGUGUGGCCUUGGUCUAAGUUCCUUGGAACAGGACGUCAUAGAGGGUGAGAAUCCCGUAUGUGACUAGGCGCUUUCGCCCGUGUAAAGCUCUUUCGACGAGUCGAGUUGUUUGGGAAUGCAGCUCAAAAUGGGUGGUAAAUUUCAUCUAAAGCUAAAUAUUGGCCAGAGACCGAUAGCGCACAAGUAGAGUGAUCGAAAGAUGAAAAGCACUUUGGAAAGAGAGUUAAACAGUACGUGAAAUUGUUGAAAGGGAAGCGCUUGCAACCAGACUUAGUUGCGGCCGAUCAUCUAGGGUUCUCCCUGGUGCACUCGGUCGUAUCUAGGCCAGCAUCGGUUUGGGUGGUGGGAUAAAGGCCUUGGGAAUGUAGCUUCUUUCGGGGAGUGUUAUAGCCCUCGGUGCAAUGCCGCCUACCUGGACCGAGGACCGCGCUUCGGCUAGGAUGCUGGCGUAAUGGUUGUAAGCGACCCGUCUUGAAACACGGACCAAGGAGUCUAACAUCUAUGCGAGUAUUUGGGUGUUAAACCCAUAUGCGUAAUGAAAGUGAACGGAGGUGAGAACCCUUAAGGGUGCAUCAUCGACCGAUCCUGAAGUCUUCGGAUGGAUUUGAGUAAGAGCAUAGCUGUUGGGACCCGAAAGAUGGUGAACUAUGCCUAAAUAGGGUGAAGCCAGAGGAAACUCUGGUGGAGGCUCGCAGCGGUUCUGACGUGCAAAUCGAUCGUCAAAUUUGGGUAUAGGGGCGAAAGACUAAUCGAACCAUCUAGUAGCUGGUUCCUGCCGAAGUUUCCCUCAGGAUAGCAGUGUUGAAUUCAGUUUUAUGAGGUAAAGCGAAUGAUUAGAGGCCUUGGGGUUGAAACAACCUUAACCUAUUCUCAAACUUUAAAUAUGUAAGAAGUCCUUGUUACUUAAUUGAACGUGGACAUUCGAAUGUACCAACACUAGUGGGCCAUUUUUGGUAAGCAGAACUGGCGAUGCGGGAUGAACCGAACGUGAAGUUAAGGUGCCGGAAUAUACGCUCAUCAGACACCACAAAAGGUGUUAGUUCAUCUAGACAGCAGGACGGUGGCCAUGGAAGUCGGAAUCCGCUAAGGAAUGUGUAACAACUCACCUGCCGAAUGAACUAGCCCUGAAAAUGGAUGGCGCUUAAGCGUAUUACCCAUACUUCACCGCCAGGGUAGAAACGAUGCCCUGGCGAGUAGGCAGGCGUGGGGGUCAGUGACGAAGCCUUGGGAGUGAUCCCGGGUAGAACGGCCUCUAGUGCAGAUCUUGGUGGUAGUAGCAAAUACUCAAAUGAGAACUUUGAGGACUGAAGUGGGGAAAGGUUCCAUGUGAACAGCAGUUGGACAUGGGUUAGUCGAUCCUAAGAGAUAGGGAAACUCCGUUUUAAAGUGCGCACUUGUGCGCCGUCCCUCGAAAGGGAAGCCGGUUAAUAUUCCGGCACCUGGAUUUGGAUUCUCCACGGCAACGUAACUGAACGCGGAGACGACGGCGGGGGCCCUGGGAAGAGUUCUCUUUUCUUCUUAACAGCCUAUCACCCUGAAAUCGGUUUGUCCGGAGCUAGGGUUUAACGGUUGGUAGAGCCCGACACCUUUGUCGGGUCCGGUGCGCUCUCGACGUCCCUUGAAAAUCCGCGGGAAGGAAUAGCUUUCAAGCCAGGUCGUACUCAUAACCGCAGCAGG
rnacentral:rRNA from 1 species